UAAUUCAUCAUAUAAUAAAAUGCUUCGCUGGGGCGCAGCUUGAUACGACCGCAGAGGUCGAACCCUGAACAGUUGGGGCAAGUAUGGACACAACAUUCAAGCUUGAUACAGCUCUGAAUUUGGAUUGUUAUUAAAUAUUUGACACAGCAUAGGUUUCUGACACAGAAAGAAUGUGGUCUAAGAACUUGAAUUUUUUUAAUUUACCUAUUAUGGUCCAAUGUCCAAAAUCAAAAUACAUGUUUAGAUUCAGCAUAUCAAAGAACCCCAUAUAUUCAAUUUUUGUUAAAAUCAAACAAAGUUUAAUUUUGGACUCCAACUUGGACAAACUUGAAAACUGGGCCCAUAAUCAAAAAUCUAAACACAUGUUUAGAUUCAGCAUAUCAAAGAACCCCAAGAAUUCAAUUUUUGUUAAAAUCAAACUAAGUUUAAUUUUGGACCCUUUGGACCUUAAUGUAGACCAAUUUAAAAAACGGGACUUAAAACUAAAAAUCUAAAUACACUGUUAGAUUUGGAAUAUCAAAGAACCCCAAUAAUUCAAUUUUAGAUGAAAUCAAACAAAGUUUAAUUUUGGACCCUUUUGACCUCAAUAUGAACCAAUUUGAUAACAGGGUCCACAAAUAAAAAAUCUAAAUACAUGGUUAGAUUCAGCAUAUCAAAGAACCCCAUAUAUUCAAUUUUUGUUGAAAUCAAACAAAGUUUAAUUUUGGACCCCAAUUUGGACCAACUUGAAAACUGGGCCAAAAAUCAAAAAUCUAAAUACAUGUUUAGAUUCAGCAUAUUAAAGAACCCCAAGAAUUCAAUUUUUGUUAAAAUCAAACUAAGUUUAAUUUUGGAUCCUUUGGACCUUAAUGUAGACCAAUUUAAAAAACAGGACCCAAAAUAAAAAAUCUAAAUACACGGUUAGAUUUGGAAUAUCAAAGAUACCCAAUAAUUCAAUUUUAGAUGAAAUCAAACAAAGUUUUAUUUUGGACCCUUUUGACCUCAAUAUGAACCAAUUUGAUAACAGGGUCCACAAAUAAAAAAUCUAAAUACAUGGUUAGAUUCAGCAUAUCAAAGAACCCCAUAUAUUCAAUUUUUGUUGAAAUCAAACAAAGUUUAAUUUUGGACCCCAAUUUGGACCAACUCGAAAACUGGGCCAAAAAUCAAAAAUCUAAAUACAUGUUUAGAUUCAGCAUAUCAAAGAACCCCAAGAAUUCAAUUUUUGUUAAAAUCAAACAAAGUUUAAUUUUGGACCCUUUGGACCUCAAUGAAGACCAAUUUAAAAAAUGGGACCCAAAUUAAAAAUCUAAAAACACGGUUAGAUUUGGCAUAUCAAAGAACCCCAAUAAUUCAAUUUUUGAUGAAAUCAAACAAAGUUUAAUUUUGGACCCUUUUGACCUCAAUAUGAACCAAUUUGAUAGCGGGGCCCACAAAUAAAAAAUCUAAAUACAUGGUUAGAUUCAGCAUAUCAAAGAACCUCAUAUAUUCAAUUUUUGUUGAAAUCAAACAAAGUUUAAUUUUGGACCCCAAUUUGGACCAACUUGAAAACUGGGCCCAUAAUCAAAAAUCUAAAUACACGUUUAGAUUCAGCAUAUCAAAGAACCCCAUAUAUUCAAUUUUUGUUAAAAUCAAACAAAGUUUAAUUUUGGACCCCAACUCGGACAAACUUGAAAACUGGGCCCAUAAUCAAAAAUCUAAACACAUGUUUAGAUUCAGCAUAUCAAAGAACCCCAAGAAUUCAAUUUUUGCUAAAAUCAAACUAAGUUUAAUUUUGGACCCUUUGGACCUUAAUGUAGACCAAUUUAAAAAACGGGACUUAAAAUUAAAAAUCUAAAUACACGGUUAGAUUUGGAAUAUCAAAGAUCCCCAAUAAUUCAAUUUUAGAUGAAAUCAAACAAAGUUUAAUUUUGGACUCUUUUGACCUCAAUAUGAACCAAUUUGAUAACAGGGUCCACAAAUAAAAAAUCUAAAUACAUGGUUAGAUUCAACAUAUCAAAGAACCCCAUAUAUUCAAUUUUUGUUGAAAUCAAACAAAGUUUAAUUUUGGACCCCAAUUUGGACCAACUUGAAAACUGGGCCAAAAAUCAAAAAUCUAAAUACAUGUUUAGAUUCAACAUAUCAAAGAACCUCAUAUAUUCAAUUUUUGCUAAAAUCAAACAAAGUUUAAUUUUGGACCCUUUGGACCUUAAUGUAGACCAAUUUGAAAACUGGACAAAAUUAAAAAUCUAAAUACACGGUUAGAUUUGGAAUAUCAAAGAACCCCAAUAAUUCAAUUUUAGAUGAAAUCAAACAAAGUUUAAUUUUGGACCCUUUUGACCUCAAUAUGAACCAAUUUGAUAACAGGGUCCACAAAUAAAAAAUCUAAAUACAUGGUUAGAUUCAGCAUAUCAAAGAACCCCAUAUAUUCAAUUUUUGUUGAAAUCAAACAAAGUUUAAUUUUGGACCCCAAUUUGGACCAACUUGAAAACUGGGCCAAAAAUCAAAAAUCUAAAUACAUGUUUAGAUUCAGCAUAUAA